UACGUAGGCAGCGAGCGUUGUUCGGAGUUACUGGGCGUAAAGAGUGCGUAGGUGGUUCUCUAAGUUCGGUGUGAAAUCUCCCGGCUCAACUGGGAGGGUGCGCCGGAAACUGGAGGGCUUGAGUGCGGGAGAGGAGAGCGGAAUUCCUGGUGUAGCGGUGAAAUGCGUAGAUAUCAGGAGGAACACCGGUGGUGCAGACGGCUCUCUGGACCGCAACUGACACUGAGGCACGAAAGCGUGGGGAGCAAACAGG
rnacentral:rRNA from 1 species